rnacentral:rRNA from 1 species
AACGCUAGCUACAGGCUUAACACAUGCAAGUCGAGGGGCAGCAUGGCGGGUGCUUGCAUCUGCCGAUGGCGACCGGCGCACGGGUGAGUAACGCGUAUCCAACCUCCCCCUGACCAGGGGAUAACCCGCUGAAAGGCGGACUAAUACCCUAUGUUCUCCUCCUAUGACAUCAGUCGAGGAGCAAAGGUUCAUUCCGGUCACGGAUGGGGAUGCGUCUGAUUAGCUUGUUGGCGGGGUAACGGCCCACCAAGGCAUCGAUCAGUGGGGGUUCUGAGAGGAAGGUCCCCCACAUUGGAACUGAGACACGGUCCAAACUCCUACGGGAGGCAGCAGUGAGGAAUAUUGGUCAAUGGGCGGAAGCCUGAACCAGCCAAGUAGCGUGCAGGAAGACGGCCCUAUGGGUUGUAAACUGCUUUUAUAUGAGGAUAAAGCCGGGGACGCGUUCCCCGUUUGCAGGUAUCAUAUGAAUAAGGACCGGCUAAUUCCGUGCCAGCAGCCGCGGUAAUACGGAAGGUCCUGGUGUUAUCCGGAUUUAUUGGGUUUAAAGGGAGCGCAGGCCGGUGGUCAAGCGUGACGUGAAAUGCAGCCGCUCAACGGUUGAUGUGCGUCGCGAACUGGCCGUCUUGAGUUGGUACGAUGCAGGCGGAAUUCGUGGUGUAGCGGUGAAAUGCUUAGAUAUCACGAAGAACUCCGAUUG